ACGCGAAAACUUUACAAUGCUGGCAACAGCGAUAAGGGAACCUCGAGUGCCAGGUUACAAAUCUGGCUGUCGAGAUGCCUAAAAAGCAUUUCAUAGCAAGGGCCGGGCAAGACCGGUGCCAGCCGCCGCGGUAACACCGGCGGCUCGAGUGGUAACCGUUAUUAUUGGGUCUAAAGGGUCUGUAGCCGGCCGGAUAAGUCUCUUGAGAAAUCUGGCAGCUUAACUGUCAGGCUUUCAGGAGAUACUGUCUGGCUCGAGGCCGGGAGAGGUGAGAGGUACUUCAGGGGUAGGGGUGAAAUCUUGUAAUCCUUGAAGGACCACCAGUGGCGAAGGCGUCUCACCAGAACGGACCUGACGGUGAGUAACGAAAGCCAGGGGAGCGAACC
rnacentral:rRNA from 1 species